rnacentral:rRNA from 1 species
CAUGCAGUCGAACGGACUUGUGUUGCGGAAGCCUUCGGGUGGAAGAAAUACAAGUUAGUGGCGGACGGGUGAGUAACGCGUGGGUAACCUGCCCUGUACCGGGGGAUAACACUUAGAAAUAGGUGCUAAUACCGCAUAAGUGCACAGAGUCGCAUGACUUAGUGUAAAAAACUCCGGUGGUACAGGAUGGACCCGCGUCUGAUUAGCUGGUUGGUGAGGUAACGGCCCACCAAGGCGACGAUCAGUAGCCGGCCUGAGAGGGUGAACGGCCACAUUGGGACUGAGACACGGCCCAAACUCCUACGGGAGGCAGCAGUGGGGAAUAUUGCACAAUGGGGGAAACCCUGAUGCAGCGACGCCGCGUGAGUGAAGAAGUAUUUCGGUAUGUAAAGCUCUAUCAGCAGGAAGGAAAAUGACGGUACCUGACUAAGAAGCCCCGGCUAACUACGUGCCAGCAGCCGCGGUAAUACGUAGGGGGCAAGCGUUAUCCGGAUUUACUGGGUGUAAAGGGAGCGUAGACGGUAUGGCAAGUCUGAAGUGAAAACCCGCAGCUUAACUGUGGGACUGCUUUGGAAACUGUUAAACUAGAGUGCAGGAGAGGUAAGUGGAAUUCCUAGUGUAGCGGUGAAAUGCGUAGAUAUUAGGAGGAACACCAGCGGCGAAGGCGGCUUACUGGACUGUAACUGACGUUGAGGCUCGAAAGCGUGGGGAGCAAACAGGAUUAGAUACCCUGGUAGUCCACGCGGUAAACGAUGAUUACUAGGUGUUGGGAGGCUAUAGCCCUUCGGUGCCGUCGCAAACGCAAUAAGUAAUCCACCUGGGGAGUACGUUCGCAAGAAUGA